rnacentral:pre_miRNA from 1 species
UGCUGUUCUUUGCUGCUGUGAUAUUUCUGAGUCGUGAUUAUCACCGGGCGAAUAUCGGCACA